AUGAAGUUUGUUUAAGUAUUUGGAUCUUUGGAUACGAGAAGACACCAUGUGAUAGGCAUUUAGUUUGGUUAAUUUAUGUUUUACGUGUUUAUAGUUAUCAAAAUAUAAUAUUUUUACUGUAUUUUGUAUUUUAUUGCGUCAUUAAUAUAUGGGGUAUACAAUACCGCGUUUAAUUAUUAGGAACAUUAGUCUCUUAAGACAUAAUUGACAAAAUGCAGAUGAAAUUGAAUACACGACGCGAUUCAACAAAUAUUGAAGUAAUUGAUGUAGACGAUUUAGUUGUAACAAGAAAAGGCGGAGGAAGUAUAAUUGAUCAACGGCCAGUUUUUUCACACGAUGGAGAAACAUUAUACAUAGUAUGGAAGCAUGUUAUAAGAGCUUACAGUACACAAACUGGAGAUUUUGUUAAAGAAUUAGAACCAGCAAAUCACAAAAUUGCAGGAUUAAUAAUACAUCCAGAAAAUCCCAAUCUGAUCAUUGCCUGUACAGAAAAUGGAGAAUUAAAUUUUUGGAGUUGUCAAAGUGGCAUUAUCACAAAGAAAUUGGAAUUAAAAUUUCAAGUAGAGCCAAAAAUAAAAACAUUUCACAUUGUAAAUUAUAAAACUCAUAAUGGAAAUGAGUUGCGUCAAGUGCUUGUGACAUAUAUUUCCAAAUGCAACACAAAAAUUUAUAUAGUGUUAUUUGAUCUGGAUAAUGGAGUUUGUGCAAAGUCUACAUGUAUAUCGACAAAAUCUUAUGAAUAUUAUGUUGAUAUAAUUGGUAAUCAUGGUGAGAAUUUAAUAGCACUCCUUCAUGAUGUAGAUUUGCAUAUAUUGAAUCCAUCAAGAAAUUUUGUUGAUAAAUUACAUAAGACGGGUAAAACAGGUAGAAUACCAACGUGCAUUGCUGGACAUCCAGAAGAAGAAUGUGUUGCCACAGGAGAUUCGACUGGUCGUGUCGUAGUCUGGAAGGGUUUGUUUCAAACAAGACCUUAUACAGCAGUUUAUCAUUGGCAUACAUUACCUGUUACAGAAAUAGUAUUCAGUAAAUCAGGUGGUCACAUGUAUACAGGAGGAGGAGAAUGUGUUCUAGUGAAAUGGGUUUUAGCAAAUUCACAUCAAAAAUCUUUUCUUCCUCGAUUACCUGCACCUAUUAAACACCUUACUAUUGCUCCUGAUAAUUUAUAUGUGGCUGUAUCUACUUUAGAUAAUGGUAUCGUGGUUGUAAAUCCACAAAGAAAAUUGACAUCAGUUAUACAAAAUUUUACAUGGGGCGUGACCUUAUCUUCUAAAGAUUUAUUUCCUGCUGGCCUUAUUGUUGAUCCACGUACGAAUUGUUUAGUUCUAAAUAGUCGUACCGGACAUGUUCAAUUUUAUAAUACUCAUACAAAAAGUUUAUUAUAUAAUAUAAAUAUUACGGCACAAAAUUUUUUAACGCAAGAGCGUAAUGUACUUGUUAUAAACACGGAAGUUACAAAGAUAGCAAUAAAUCAUGAUGGUAUGUGGAUGGCGACUGUUGAAGAACGAAACGAUAAAAUGUCAUGUAUAGAAGUAAGGCUGAAAUUUUGGAUGUAUGACGUUAAACAACAACAGUUCGCGUUAAACACGUCAAUCGAGCUUCCUCACGAUGGUGGUGUGAAUGCUUUGCACUUCCAACCGUGCAUGUUAUUCGGUGAUGAGGGAGCACUGGCAGUUACAACAGGCAGAGAUAGAAAAUUCAAAUUAUGGCAUCUCGUAGAACCUUCAUCCUUACACAAAAAAAAUAAAUUUUGGCAGUGCCAUAGUGUAGGAGAUUACAGAAAUCUGCCUGCAACGGAUGCUGGUUUCUCGAUUGAUGGUUCAUUAGUUGGUAUUGGUUUCGAUUCUAGUCUAACAAUAUGGACUCCUGAUACUUGUACAUUUAAAUGUAGCCUUACACACUGUCAAUAUCAGUAUCCAGUGACGCGAAUUGAAUUUGGAAAACAAGAUGCUUGUCAUCUUGUGGUAGCAGUUUCCACGCAGCAUAUUGCGGUGUGGAACAUCCUGUCGCUCACGUUAAUAUGGAGCGUACCUCUAAAAAUUGCAACUCUUACGGCAGAUCCGAAAUCGACAUACAUGGCUGUUUUUACGACUGAUAAUUCACUGUUUGUAUUCACACCCCACAAAUCGACACCCGUCUACACAAGAAAAGAUUUUAUCGAAAAUAAUAGUUUCAUUUUGGGAGCCACCUUUGUACCACAUUUACAAGUGAAACGAGAUUCAUCGUACAGAUUGUGGCAACGAAAAUCGCAGCUUUUCUUUUUAGAUUCUAAUCAAGAAUUAUUAACGUUAGAACCAGAAUCCGAAGUGACUAUUUCUCUUGAAAUUUUAUCUACGAAUGCAAUAGUUCCUGCGACCGCCUUUAGCAAUUUAAUAGCGAGCACGACUACCACAGACAAGGAAGUACCCGCUCCAUUUAUGCACGAACAACUGAGAACAGGAAAAGGAAUGGUGAAAGAGUCUGUGGCCACAUUUGCUCUGGCAAAAAUGAUAGAUCGCCGCGCGACCAAUCGGAGCGGAGCUUCAGAUGUGCGUAAUAAGUUUACGAUUCUUCGGAAAGAUUAACGAACUGGAAACCAAAGUUGCAACAGUCGAUGAAGAAUCAAAACUUUCGACACAACUUUCUGGUGAAAACUGGUGUAUACCGAGAAGAAUAUUCGUGUAGGUUGUAAGAGACGCGUCAACCUAGAUCUGAAGUAGAAGAUUGCAGGAAUUGCAGAAAUUUUCGUUCGGGGGUGUGCCUGCGUCAGCCUUAAGACUAAUUAACUAAUCGGAUGUCGCGAGCGUCACAAGUAUUACCGAAGAAGUAAACGCACGUCAAAUAUCAUACGUAUCUUUCCCAAUUAUACUUCUCAGCGUCUCAGCCCACACAUUACCGCCCAUGAAGAUGCUUUGUGCAUCAUUCAUCACAUCUCUGCUCUCGU